AAGUCGUAACAAGGUAACCGUAGGUGAACCUGCGGUUGGAUCAUUAUUGAAUCUAAUUCUUUUUAGUUUUGAUUGUUAACUUCUUUUUCUCAAAGUUUUUUUUCAGUCAAACUAAAAAUUCUUAAACCCCAAAAAUUUUAUGUGAUAUUUAUUUUAGUACUUGGUCUGAAAAAAAAAAUACUUUUCUUUUUUUAGGCCUAUAACUAUAUAAAAAAAACUCAUAUUGUUAUCUAAACUUUUUUUUUUCUUCAUAUAUUAUUGUGAAAAAAAAAACAACUUUCAACAACGGAUCUCUUGGCUCUG
rnacentral:misc_RNA from 1 species